GGAAGGCAAUUUUUAUUUAAUUUUGUGUGGAUGGUUGUAUUUGAAAUACCAAAUUGCAAAAAGAGUGUUGUUUUAAUUUUUAUUAUUUCUAUGGGUGGCUGGUGUUAAAAAAAAUUGCUAUCCUUGGGGUACAUAGAAUUUUCUGGAAGAACCCGUACAUUUUUUCACAUUACUUUAUAAAACUUUCUGAAAACAAAACCAUUUCUCAAAAAUGUAAUAUGAAACAGUUUAGACUGUCUCAGGGUCAUUCAAAAAUUUAUUGUGUUAUGGGGUUUAAGGCAAAAAAAAAUAAAUACAGGUGAACUGCAUUUUGUUUAGAAUUUUGUAAGAAAUAUAAGUAAACUAUAGGCUUCAAGGAGCCUGUGUUGCUCAGCUGAUAUUUUUAUAUACGGUUGAUAAAAAUAAAAGGACUCCCCGUUUAUUAUGUUUAGAACAGCUCUGACUCUUUCAAUGCUUAUCUAGUUAAACAAUUAAUACAAUUAAAAUAUUGAUCAAGGGUUAUUCCAUUAAAAUUAAUGUAGAAAAGAUAUGAGGAAUUUUAGAAGGAUAUGUAUAAGAUGUUGCAAAACUAAUCAAAUGAAAAGAUAACAUGUUGGUUUUCAGAAAAUGAACUUAUAAAAUAGGGUUCUAAAAACU
rnacentral:lncRNA from 1 species